rnacentral:rRNA from 1 species
CGCGUAGGCGGUUUCUAAAGUCAGAUGUGAAAGCCCGGGGCUUAACCCCGGAAGUGCAUUUGAAACUGUGAAGCUUGAGUAUCGGAGGGGAGUGUGGAAUUCCCGGUGUAGAGGUGAAAUUCGUAGAGAUCGGGAGGAACACCGGUGGCGAAGGCGACACUCUGGACGAAUACUGACGCUGAGGCGCGAAAGCGUGGGGAGCAAACA